rnacentral:rRNA from 1 species
UUCCUACGGGAGGCAGCAGUGGGGGAUAUUGCACAAUGGGGGAAACCCUGAUGCAGCGACGCCGCGUGAGUGAAGAAGUGUCUCGGUACGUAAAGCUCUAUCAGCAGGGAAGAAAAAAAGUCUUUGGCUUUGGACGGUACCUGACUAAGAAGCCCCGGCUAACUACGUGCCGGCAGCCGCGGUAAUACGUAUGGAGCAAGCGUUAUCCGGAUUUACUGGGUGUAAAGGGAGCGCAGACGGCAAGGCAAGUCUGAUGUGAAAGUCCGAGGCUCAACCUCGGGACUGCAUUGGAAACUGUCUGGCUA